GAAAACCACACAUCGUAUGUUCUCACUUUUAAGUAGAAGCUGAGCCAUGGGUAUGCAAGGGCUUCUGAGUGGUAUAAUGGACACUGGAGACUCAGAAGUGGGGAAGGUGGCUGGGGGUGAGGGAUAAAAAACUACAAAAUGGGCACAAUUGACACUGUUCGCGUAAUGGGUGCACUAAAAUCCCAGACUUCAUUAUACGGUUCAUCCACGUAACCAAAAACCACUUCCACAUCUAAAGCGAUUGGAAUAGAGAAAAGAAAUAAGGGCUUCCUUUUUAAAGGAGAGAAAGGUGGAUUCUGUGCAUGGCUGUGCCUCGGUUUCGUCCUGCAUGCACACUAGCAGCAGUGGCUGGCCUCAGGAGAACAUGGAUGGUGACUCAUCACAUGGAGUGACUUACGGUCCGGGAAGAGUACAUCUGCAACUGAGAUGGUGAGUCAUAAACAACGGAGAGCCAGUGAAGCUCUGCGAGAGAGGAAAGCCAGGGAAACCUGUGGGAGCAGAGAGCCAGGGUGGACAGAUGAGUUCCCAGAAGGGUAGAGCUGGGGGUCAUCUGACUUAUCUUCCUCAGAAGGGUGAUACUUUUUUAAAUCUGUCCCAUGGAAAAUUGUACGAGUAUGAGUGGAAAGCUGCAAGGUGACCGGAUAGCACAGGGCUCAGGGAGCCACAGCCCAGCUUCAACCAAGAAUGCAUGAUUCUUGUAUGUGGCGAGGGCUUCCCCCACCCUCCGCAGCACCCUGGUUCCUUCACUUCAUCUAGUGAGAAACAAGAGCAGCCCUGUUGCAAGGAAUGUGCCUGGGGGCCCAUCAGUGCUCUGGGCUGCCUGACAUGAGGCCCUUGGGUCUCUGUGCCUCAGUGUCCUCGAGUUCCAGUUGAGAUGGGUGCCCAUGGCUAUGGAUUGUUGAUAUCCUUCUGGCUCUGAAAUUUGGAUAGUUUCUUCUCCAAAGAACUAAGUGUUACUGGAGGCUCUUGAAAGAAAUCUGCAGCGGCCUGGGAUGUUACACAUCCAGCCCCAGAUUACCCCAAGGAUGGGCUUGAACCUCACCCCAUAUCCAGCGUGAAAUGACCUGCAGGCGUGUCUCGGGGUCUGGAUAUCAAGGCAUCCAGUGACUAUGGAGCAGGAACGAGGCCUUCAAGUCCUGAUGGCGAAUGGCCACUUCUGCACAUCCCCUAAAAACCUUAUCUUCUAAAGACCUUCAACACAUUAAAAAUUCUGUGAACUUUACUAUUUCUAAAAAUAUCCUACCAGCUCCACCACUAAAUAUAACGUCUCUUCCAACGAUGAGUCAAAUGCAUUUUGCAUCAAUGGCUCUGCAUACUUGAGAAACGGAGUUGUUUGUGGUGAAGAUAUUUUUCCAUGGUGCUGCUCCAACAGAGGUCAUUUCUAAGAAAUUUCUAAUUUCCCUGGAGAAAAAUGAAUGCUUCAAAGUCAAAGAAGAAGGAUUUUUUACUCCAGAGCAACUUCUAAAUCUUUUUCAAAACUGGCUUUUUGCUUUUGAGAUCAAACUUUGCUCUGUCCAGUUUCAAAUAUCUUCCUUUUUUUCUGUCUCUACUCCAGCUUUUUUAACUGAUGCAAACUUUGAGUAUCAGGGUAAACCACUAACCUCAUACUUAUCCUUUUAAAACACUUCUUAGUCCUGUUAUUUCCAUUUCUUCAUAUCCAACCAAUGACAGUAUAUGUUUUCUCAAAAUAAGUCUGUCCUCAAACCCACAAACACAUACCUAAAUUUAUUAUCAUUAUUACUGAUUUCCUACUUGCACUGCUAAAUGUUUCUUGGUGCCUGUGAGGGCUGUGGUGCAGACGCUCCCCUCCCUGGGAGGACAGUAGCCUGUUAAAUGUUAGAUGUGAGACUUCUCUCAUCUGUAUCCAGUAUGUCAGGAUGAAAUAACUUUGGGGUUACAAUAUUUGGGGAAUCUAAAGAUAGUUAUUACUGCUGUUUAGAUCAAAAUUUGAAAUGCCAUGGAAAGUACUAAUGAGUCCUAGUACAAGGAGAAAUGAAAUAAAGUUAUUUAAUUUUCAAAUGAUUAUUUAAUAAUUUAGUUCCCAGCUGGUCGACUAACCAGGACCAAUGGGACCUCAAACCCAUUUUACAGGCAGCUGGGGGCAUUAAUUAUAAAUGAAAAAAAAAGAAAAAAAAUGAGUGUAUGAGUGUAUUACCCUUUCUCCCACCAUUUUUGCAAUAAGAUAGUGUCUAGAAGGGGGCUACAAGUGAAUGCAACAUAAACUAAAGUGACUUUUCCUUUAAAAACUCAGUGGUUCUUCCAGGGCUGUUGGUUUAUUCCUCUCUCACCAUGAUUUUAAUGCUAACUUCAUCCUCCAUUCCAUACACCCCAAGUUAACUAAAGGGAAAAACGGUCCACAAAACAAACAGAUUCUAGGAAAAUCUGUGUGACAGCAUCUGUGCGUGUGAGCAGCCCUGGGGUGUGUCCACUCCUCUGGGAUCCCAUAUGGUUUUCCCUUUUAGAAUUGUUGAGAUAAGGAUCUGGCUUUACUGGGGUUUCGUGUUCCCGUCUUUAGAAAGAAGUCAGAUCCUACUCUUUCCAAUAUUCUGUGCUCUUUUGAGUCCAAGUGCAAUCACACAUUUAAAGCUGUUUUUCUUUCGCUUCUCCACUUGAAAAUAUGUGUCCCUGAAUCACUCUGUGGUCUUUUUCUUUCUUGUUCCUUAGGUGUGCUGACUUUCUGAAUUUGCAAGUGUAUCAUCAGGACAGGCAGAAACAUGCUGGCAUCCCCUUGGUCAGACAAGAAAAUCUCAGCAGAGGCCCGAAGAAUGAGUUCAAAUGCUGGUGAAUUCAAAACGCAGAGAGCCCAGCAGACGCCAUCACUAUGGAUCUUGUAUUUGAAUCCGAUGUAGCUGGAUUCCCGGGGCCACGUAAAUUAGGCGUGGAGCCUGUGUUAGAGAGUGAGGGUUUCCUUAGCGUCGUUGGCAUCAUUCAUGUAUAGCCAAGGUUCCACUUCUUAGCUUCUCCUUCAAGAAAGCCAACGAAGCAGGCAUUUGGGAAAGUCAGCACUCGUUCAAGAGUUCGUUGGCUUUCAGUUGUGAUGAUGUUUUAAGGUCAUAUUUUUCCAAGUAGGAUUGUUUGAGAAUGAGGGCUCUGGUUUCAUUCAGAGAUAAUGGCAAUAGGCUUCUCUCACUUCAAACACCUGACUUGCCACACACUUGUUUGACUGCUGCCCUUAUCCAGAGAAUUCUCAUCAAGAUGGGCAUGUGGGCCGGGAUGCUGCUGUACCCCAGGAUUCACACUGGCCUCGCGGCCGUGCAGAAAAGCAAGACAGUGGAUCUGAGCUCCAUCCCCGCAGUCUGCACUGGCCCCUUCAUGGCACAGCGACAGCUUUGCCAUCAGCCGGCAAGCAUGCGGGGUGUGGACGACACAGCCGGAGAGAGCAGAGGCCAGGCUCAUGAAUCGGACAACGAGCUCGAGUUUUCAAGGUGUGACUCAAAGAUCCAUCAACACUUCCUUAGUCAUCUGCUAUUAGGUAUUAGUGAUAUAGUCCAUUGGAUUCAGCCUUAGUCAUCUGCUAUUAUCUGCUAUUAUGUAUUAGUGAUAUAGUCCAUUGGAUUCAGCCUUAGUCAUCUGCUAUUAUCUGCUAUUAUGUAUUAGUGAUAUAGUCCAUUGGAUUCAGCCUUAGUCAUCUGCUAUUAUCUGCUAUUAGGUGUUAGUGAUACAGUCCAUUGGAUUCAGCUUUAGUCACCUGCUAUUAGGUAUUAGUGAUAUAGUCCAUUGGAUUGAGUUAAUGCUCAGACUCUGUGAAAAUAGUCAAAUUCUUUUACUUUCUCAACUAGAUUUGAUGCAUUUUUCGAAUAUUUACGUGUCGUGUUAACAUGACCCUAAUUCAAUUAGCUUGCCAGUAAAUUUUACUGCUUGGGGAUGAGAUCUACAAAGGCAUUACACAGGGACAUGAAGCUCCCUGCUGCCAAAACGUUGGCGCUCUUCAGCGGUUAAAACGUUCUUCCUUCUGCUGAGUGAUGAUCCGCUUCCAUGGAGUUUCCAUCGCUGGCUCCUAGAGCUUUCCUUUGGUGAUUGAAAGCAUCAGUCUGCCUCCUCUCCUGUCUGGCAUCCCUUCAAAUAUUUGAAAAGGGUGACUAAGUUCCCUCUAAGCCUGUUCAUUCUCAUCCGGGUCAUCCUCCUGCCCUCUCUUGUUAGUUGUACAGAGAAGUUUCUAGACCCUUCACCGCUGUGGCUAAUUCCCGAGAAGAGGAGGUGGGCUACUCCGGUCUUGAGAGUUAUGACUGGACACCUGAGAUGCACAGGAUAUAAGGCUUCAUGCAACUGGAAAGAAAUUUCUGCACAUAACAAGUUUAUACUCGUCCAUGUACAAGGCCCCGAGUCAAACACAGUCAUCUGAAAUUGUCAAGUGGGAGAAAACAGCUACAGAUUUCUAUUUUUUCUCAUGCCUAGUCACAGCAUUGAGUCUUGUUUGAGGCAACAUCACUCUUAUCGUUUUUAAAAAAUAUCUUACUACAGCCCUCUCCCUGUUGCUUGAACUCAUACAGAAGAGAAGGCAGUUGUCCCUCCUGCUGUAUAAAUUAUAACUGCCGUCUCUCCUUUCUUUCCACACAUUGCUGCACCCAGAGUGCUGCCACCAACACUUAACUGUAUCUUUAUAGUCAAGGAGGAAUCUGCCUUCCAGAGACAGAAAUAGUGUGUGCACAUGUGUGUGAAUGUGUAUCCAUGCACAUGUGUGCACAUCUGUAUGUAUGUGCACGUGUAUACACUCAAGUUGUGCAUGUAUGCUGUACAUGUGUAUUCAGGGAUGUGUGUGCAUGUGUGUGCAUGCAUGUGUGUGCAUGGUAUGUGGGCAUCUCUUCGCAUGUGCACCUAUGUGUGCAUUUAUGUUGUGCAUGCAUGUUAUGCAUGCGUGUGCAUGGAUGUCAGUGCAUAUGUGCAUACAUGCAUGUGCGUGUGUGUGGAUUUGGAUGUACGCAACUUAUGCAUUUUUUCUAAGGCUAUUUAUUUUUUCAUUUGGGCAAUUUUUUUUUUCUCAGAUGUCGUCAGGUCCAUCACAGCUCAGCAUUAUGAAAUAAUAAAAUAACCAAAUCCUUUCCCAA